GCAGGCAACCAGAGGAGGAGAUGUCGGAGAAGAUGACCGAAGGCGGUCCCGCUGAGCACUCCUUUCAGAACAAGGGUACUGUGAAGACACAGGCCCUCCUUCUAGCGCCAAUCCUGUUGGUGCAAAAAUCCGCCGGCAUCGGAGAAGCUGGAAUCGAGGGAGUCACGAUCGCCGUCGGGACCUACAAAGAAAGUCUAAACCGG
rnacentral:lncRNA from 1 species